rnacentral:rRNA from 1 species
ACAGCAGCAGCCGCGGGAAUACGUAGGGUGCAAGCGUUAAUCGGAAUUACUGGGCGUAAAGCGUGCGCAGGCGGUUAUAUAAGACAGAUGUGAAAUCCCCGGGCUCAACCUGGGAACUGCAUUUGUGACUGUAUAGCUAGAGUACGUCAGAGGGGGAUGGAAUUCCGCGUGUAGCAGUGAAAUGCGUAGAUAUGCGGAGGAACACCGAUGGCGAAGGCAAUCCCCUGGGCCUGUACUGACGCUCAUGCACGAAAGCGUGGGGAGCAAACAGGAUUAGAUACCCGAGUAGUCCCUGUCUCUUAUAC